AUGUGGUUUAAUUCGAAGCAACGCGAAGAACCUUACCAGGUCUUGACAUCCCGGUGCCCGUCCUAGAGAUAGGAUUUUGCUUCGGCACACCGGUGACAGGUGGUGCAUGGUUGUCGUCAGCUCGUGUCGUGAGAUGUUGGGUUAAGUCCCGCAACGAGCGGUCGACGCGGCCGGUGACAAACCGGAGGAAGGUGGGGAUGACGUCAAGUCAGCAUGCCCCUUACGUCCUGGGCUACACACGUACUACAAUGGUAGGGACAGAGGGCAGCCAACCCGCGAGGGCGAGCUAAUCCCGUAAACCCUGCCUCAGUUCA
rnacentral:rRNA from 1 species